GCCGGGGUGGCGAAACUGGCAGACGCAGGGGACUUAAAAUCCCCCGGUUGGUGACAACCAUACCGGUUCGAUUCCGGUCCUCGGCACCA
rnacentral:tRNA from 3 species